rnacentral:rRNA from 1 species
AUGAACGCUAGCUACAGGCUUAACACAUGCAAGUCGAGGGGCAUCAGGAAGAAAGCUUGCUUUCUUUGCUGGCGACCGGCGCACGGGUGAGUAACACGUAUCCAACCUGCCCUUUACUCGGGGAUAGCCUUUCGAAAGAAAGAUUAAUACCCGAUAGCAUAAUGAUUCCGCAUGGUUUCAUUAUUAAAGGAUUCCGGUAAAGGAUGGGGAUGCGUUCCAUUAGGUUGUUGGUGAGGUAACGGCCCACCAAGCCUUCGAUGGAUAGGGGUUCUGAGAGGAAGGUCCCCCACAUUGGAACUGAGACACGGUCCAAACUCCUACGGGAGGCAGCAGUGAGGAAUAUUGGUCAAUGGGCGCUAGCCUGAACCAGCCAAGUAGCGUGAAGGAUGAAGGCUCUAUGGGUCGUAAACUUCUUUUAUAUAAGAAUAAAGUGCAGUAUGUAUACUGUUUUGUAUGUAUUAUAUGAAUAAGGAUCGGCUAACUCCGUGCCAGCAGCCGCGGUAAUACGGAGGAUCCGAGCGUUAUCCGGAUUUAUUGGGUUUAAAGGGAGCGUAGGUGGACUGGUAAGUCAGUUGUGAAAGUUUGCGGCUCAACCGUAAAAUUGCAGUUGAUACUGUCAGUCUUGAGUACAGUAGAGGUGGGCGGAAUUCGUGGUGUAGCGGUGAAAUGCUUAGAUAUCACGAAGAACUCCGAUUGCGAAGGCAGCUCACUGGACUGCAACUGACACUGAUGCUCGAAAGUGUGGGUAUCAAACAGGAUUAGAUACCCUGGUAGUCCACACAGUAAACGAUGAAUACUCGCUGGUUGCGAUAUACAGUAAGCGGCCAAGCGAAAGCAUUAAGUAUUCCACCUGGGGAGUACGCCGGCAACGGUGAAACUCAAAGGAAUUGACGGGGGCCCGCACAAGCGGAGGAACAUGUGGUUUAAUUCGAUGAUACGCGAGGAACCUUACCCGGGCUUAAAUUGCAGUGGAAUGAUGUGGAAACAUGUCAGUGAGCAAUCACCGCUGUGAAGGUGCUGCAUGGUUGUCGUCAGCUCGUGCCGUGAGGUGUCGGCUUAAGUGCCAUAACGAGCGCAACCCUUAUCUUUAGUUACUAACAGGUUAUGCUGAGGACUCUGGAGAGACUGCCGUCGUAAGAUGUGAGGAAGGUGGGGAUGACGUCAAAUCAGCACGGCCCUUACGUCCGGGGCUACACACGUGUUACAAUGGGGGGUACAGAAGGCAGCUACCUGGUGACAGGAUGCUAAUCCCAAAAGCCUCUCUCAGUUCGGAUCGAAGUCUGCAACCCGACUUCGUGAAGCUGGAUUCGCUAGUAAUCGCGCAUCAGCCACGGCGCGGUGAAUACGUUCCCGGGCCUUGUACACACCGCCCGUCAAGCCAUGGGAGCCGGGGGUACCUGAAGUACGUAACCGCAAGGAUCGUCCUAGGGUAAAACUGGUGACUGGG